GGAUCUACCUGAACGUGGGGGAUAACGUAGGGAAACUUACGCUAAUACCGCAACGUCCUACGGGAGAAAGCAGGGGACCUUCGGGCCUUGCGCGGUCAGACGAACCGAUGUUCGAUUAGCUAGUUGGUAAGGUAAUGGCUUACCAAGGCGACGAUCGAUAGCUGGUCUGAGAGGAUGAUCAGCCACACUGGGACUGAGACACGGCCCAGACUCCUACGGGAGGCAGCAGUGGGGAAUAUUGGACAAUGGGCGCAAGCCUGAUCCAGCAAUGCCGCGUGUGUGAAGAAGGCCCUCGGGUUGUAAAGCACUUUUAUCAGAACGAAAUACCACGGGCUAAUACCCUAUGGGGCUGACGGUACCUGAGGAAUAAGCACCGGCUAACUUCGUGCCAGCAGCCGCGGUAAUACGAAGGGUGCAAGCGUUAAUCGGAAUUACUGGGCGUAAAGGGUGCGUAGGCGGUUGUUUAAGUCUGUCGUGAAAUCCCCGGGCUCAACCUGGGAAUGGCGAUGGAUACUGGACAGCUAGAGUGUGUCAGAGGAUGGUGGAAUUCCCGGUGUAGGGUGAAAUGCGUAGAGAUCGGGAGGAACAUCAGUGGCGAAGGCGGCCAUCUGGGACAACAC
rnacentral:rRNA from 1 species